rnacentral:rRNA from 1 species
GCAAGUCGAGGGGUAACGGAAGUAGCUUGCUACUAGACGACGACCGGCGCACGGGUGAGUAACGCGUAUGUAAUCUGCCUUGUACAGAGGGAUAGCCCAGAGAAAUUUGGAUUAAUACCUCAUAGUAUUACUGGAUCGCAUGAUUUGGUAAUUAAAGCUCCGGCGGUACAAGAUGAACAUGCGUGACAUUAGCUAGUUGGUAAGGUAACGGCUUACCAAGGCUACGAUGUCUAGGGGUUCUGAGAGGAUGAUCCCCCACACUGGUACUGAGACACGGACCAGACUCCUACGGGAGGCAGCAGUGAGGAAUAUUGGUCAAUGGACGCAAGUCUGAACCAGCCAUCCCGCGUGAAGGAUGACUGCCCUAUGGGUUGUAAACUUCUUUUAUAUGCAAAUAAACCUACUUUCGUGAAAGUAGCUGAAGGUAGCAUAUGAAUAAACACCGGCUAACUCCGUGCCAGCAGCCGCGGUAAUACGGAGGGUGUAAGCGUUAUCCGGAUUUAUUGGGUUUAAAGGGUACGUACGCGGUAAUAUAAGU